rnacentral:snoRNA from 1 species
GUGAUGAUCACAUCCGAUUUUGAAGGGUGAAGCGGCCGUCCCAGGCUGA